AUCUUCAUCAUAACAAUUAUCCAAGUAUCAAAUUCCACCUCAGCGAGCAGCCGCCUUUAAGAUGGCGGCUGGAGUGUUGUAAAUAAUAUGUGGUCAUGCCUCUUUUACUGUUUUUGUGACCAAUGCUG
rfam:Gilliamella apicola strain wkB1, complete genome.